AGUCGUGUGGACACGCAGUCGUGGCACCGACGAGUCUGCUCUGGACACGGAUGUUUACACCUGUGUAACCCAAUGACCAAUCCAGUGCUAUCAAGAUCCAGAACAUCACCUUCAUCCCAGAGCAUUCCCUCCAAUCUCUUCCCAGUCAAUCCUCACCCACUUUCCCAGGGAUUUGUAACCCCAUGUGCUUCUCAAAUAAAAAGAGGAAAGCCCCUCACUAGGAACUGGUCUUCUCAGGGACUCUGCUGCCAUCUUUACCAAACAUCUCUUCGGUAUUUGCAUGAAGUUUGCGUCCUGCUGUUAAUCCAGGAAAGAAACUUUCUGCGAGAAAUCCUCUGAUUGAUAUUUAUGGGGGUUUGGAAUUCAGCGAUUAAAAUUCACUUUAAGACACUGCAGCCCAUCCCGGGACCUGACGUCAGGAACUGUUUUCCGAGGAAGACACCGUGGAGGACUGUCAAGUGAAAAGAAACGUACCUCGAUGUCCCUGGCAUGCACGUAAAGGAGUCUGCGUACUUCCGAGUUGUCGACACUCCUGUAGACGGUCCCAAGCAGAAUAACCUUAGUCAUGUCCUUCUCCACUUUAAAGCCUCAAGCUAAUUCAAAGCAAAUAUUCGGUCAUAUUAUAUAAUACUGCAGUUU